rnacentral:tRNA from 1 species
AUUCUUGUAGCGCAAUGGAUAGCGCGUUGGACUUCUCAUCCAAAGGCCGUGGAUUCGAAACCCACCUGGGAUG